UACAGAGGGGGCAAGCGUUGUUCGGAAUUACUGGGCGUAAAGGGCGCGUAGGCGGCCGACUAAGUCAGACGUGAAAUCCCCGGGCUUAACCUGGGAACUGCAUUGGUGACUGGCGGGCUAGAGUAUGGCAGAGGGGGGUAGAAUUCCACGUGUAGCAGUGAAAUGCGUAGAGAUGUGGAGGAAUACCGAUGGCGAAGGCAGCCCCCUGGGCCAAUACUGACGCUCAUGCACGAAAGCGUGGGGAGCAAACAGG
rnacentral:rRNA from 1 species